rnacentral:rRNA from 1 species
GACGAACGCUGGCGGCGUGCUUAACACAUGCAAGUCGAACGAAGAGCGACGGAAGCUUGCUUCUAUCAAUCUUAGUGGCGAACGGGUGAGUAACGCGUAAUCAACCUGCCCUUCAGAGGGGGACAACAGUUGGAAACGACUGCUAAUACCGCAUACGAUCUAAUCUCGGCAUCGAGGAUGGAUGAAAGGUGGCCUCUACAUGUAAGCUAUCACUGAAGGAGGGGAUUGCGUCUGAUUAGUUAGUUGGAGGGGUAACGGCCCACCAAGGCGAUGAUCAGUAGCCGGUCUGAGAGGAUGAACGGCCACAUUGGGACUGAGACACGGCCCAGACUCCUACGGGAGGCAGCAGUGGGGAAUCUUCCGCAAUGGACGAAAGUCUGACGGAGCAACGCCGCGUGAGUGAUGACGGCCUUCGGGUUGUAAAGCUCUGUUAAUCGGGACGAAAGGCCUUCUUGCGAAUAGUGAGAAGGAUUGACGGUACCGGAAUAGAAAGCCACGGCUAACUACGUG